UUACAGGGAGGCGACAGCUUAGGAAUCUUCGGCAAUGGGCGAAAGCCUGACCGAGCGACGCCGCGUGAAGGAUGAAGGCCCUCGGGUCGUAAACUUCUAAAAGAGGGACGAUAAUGACGGUACCUCUUGAAAAGCACCGGCUAACUCCGUGCCAGCAGCCGCGG
rnacentral:rRNA from 1 species